ACAUUCCUGGGUGUCUGCAGAGAAGUCAUGUUAUCAUCAGGUAUGCUAAAUGACAUUAUAUUAAUAGAUUGUACAGCACUGUGGAAUUUAUUGGCUCCUUAUAAAUAAUAAUAAUGAUAACAAUUACUGGUGAGAUUUAUGCACAAUGCUGCAUUUAAAUCUCAAAUGCCCUAUACUCUAAGGGAUGUAAAACAAUAUGUAAAAAGCUUCAAGUUACCUUGAGCACUGGUAAAACUGUAUUUGAAAUGCUCUGGGAAUGGGGUAUAGGUCAAGACAAAGCUAGAUGACAAAUCUUGGGAAUUAGAUUGUGAGAGUUGUUAUAACUUAUUAUAUGGGCUGCUAAUGAAAAUGGCUACAAGUGUGUUUUCCUGGUGGUACUUCAAGUGAGAUUAAGCCAUAUUUGUCUGGAACAUUCCCCUCUUUGCAGUAGGGACAUACUUUCAUAUGUGGUGGCAAUGCAGGUAGGUGGUGAGGUAUUGGAGACAUUCUUUUAUACUUUAUAGCUGGAUUCUUGGCUUGACUUUUUAAACCCAACUGUGAGGUGGUUGUCUUAAAGGAACACUAUAGUAUCAGGAACAUAAAACUGUAUUCCUAACACUGAAGUGUCCCUCUACCUUCACGCCCCUCCUGGUCCCACUCAGCCAUAAAAGGGUUAAAUAACCCUUUAAACACUUACUUGAUUCCAUCACUUAGGUCUUUCAAAGUUGAGUGGGCCUCCUUCUCCUCUAACGUCAACUGAUGGGGGGAAACUAAAGCAACUGUGCGGCAGGUUCCACAUGUGCAUUAGGCCUUCCCCAUAGAAAAGCAUUGACUCAAGAGGUUUCUCAAGAAGCUGGACAGCAUGAGAAUGUGUUUCAAGGAGUUAAACUCUGUGAAGCACCAGGAAGCACCUCUAGACUAGAAGCAGUCUUAACUCUGCAAUAAAAAUAUUGCAGUUUCUCUGAGUGAGAUAACGGGUCUGGGUGCCUAAGUAGCCCUUUAAAUGGUGUCUCGUUAUCUUCUUGGCUUACAAGCUCAUCUUGGAAACAAUGCCAUAAAAUUUGCAUGGCUGUGCAUCACUUGGCAGUGGGAGGAAAAGAUCCCUUAUCUGGGCACAUUGAGGGAAUUAUUUGCAAUUCUUAAGGGUAAUCUUCCAGCACAUAAUAAACUAUAGCUUUCUUAGAUGGAAUAUUUGAGGUCAACUCAGCAUGCGUCUGACAGAUGACCAAUUGUCCAGAGAAAAAGGGGUACUGAGAGGAAGAGGAAGUGAGGGAAAGAGAAUUAAAAGAAAAUAGAAAUAUUGUAAAAUGACAACUGGCAUGUUUUUCAUCCUAAAAUGUUAGGUGCAUACAUGAAAAUUGUUAGGUACAUGCAUGAAAGAGGAAAUAAAAAUAAGAAAAGGUUAGUUGUGCUCACCUGCCAAGCUCUUUACUGGAACAUAUGUAGGCAAAUCAAUCCAAGGGAUACAAACAGCGCUGCAACAUGUGCUUAACGAAACAUUCUAACCAACAACAAUGCAGAUCGUUAAAAGAUAAUACUUUUCCUUUAAUGAAGGCAUAGAAAGAUCAAUCAAUGGCACAUAGAAAACACAUAAAAAAAUAUAAAGAAAUAAAAUAUAUGUACAAAAUCCCUCGGUUCUACUCUCUACAUGUUACAUCUUUUGUGCCCAAGAAUAAGCACUCAUGUAGCACAACAAAGACACUCCAAGUGUGGAGAGGAUGGUCAGAGUGUUUUGUACAUAUAUUCUUUUUCUUUUUGCUAUAAUAUUAGCACUAUUGUUGUAGGUUGAAAUGAAAGGGGAAAUAUAAGCACAUGGAUAAUUGUCUUUUUUUGUAUUCAUUGGCCUGGUUUAUGGAAAAUCAAUCCUGGUUGACAUAAUUAGUAAUUUACAUAACUUAGUACCCUUGACUGUUUAAAUAUCACAUCACACUUGUUCUGUAGCUUGCACCCCCUUGGCCUAAACAAAUGUUCUGAGGAAAAUGAAAAUUGUAUUUGAAAUAUUCAAUCAUAAAUAUCAGAUUUUGUAAGUUCUAUGAUAUGUGAGUUCUAUAUUAUCCUUUUUUUUCUAAACCUGAUUAUGAAGAAGCGAUCAUCGGUACAUCUUUAUUUGACCACGGCAAGUCAAGUCACAUUCAUCUAUCCUUUGCCAGUGGACCGUUGCAAAUCACAUACCACAAAAAUACAGUUCCCAUCACAGGGAGCCUUAGUUUUCUUCUGAAUCGAGGGGAACUCCAUAAGGCAUUCCAAAAACAAAAAUCUAAGGACUUUAG